CCCAGGGCCGCUUUCACAGGCCCGAGGGAGCUUAGGAACAGGGGAAGGACCUAACCAGACAACAAGCCCAGACUUCCUGAGAAGGGUUUCAUGAUUCCUCAAUGUGGCCCUGCCCCUGGAGCACCAGGAAAGUAAGAAAUGCUACGGAAAAGAAGGGGAGAGAGGUCACAGCAGUUUGACAUUAAGAGAAAGGAAAAGAAACUUAAAUAUCGCCGCCGCGGCCGCCCCCAUGACAGGCACCGCAGAGAUACCGCCGCCCCCCAGCCCUGCGCAGUUCUGCGCCCCCGCCCGACCCAAGAGGAGCUGCU
rnacentral:lncRNA from 1 species